AUUGUUUAAUUCAUUUAUAACUCAGCCGGAGCAGCCCGGCCUCACCUGCGAUCACGGCGGUGUCGGCGUCCUCAUGGCCAGGAGGGGUCGGAGCCUUCCUCAGGUACGGCGUGGUCGGGUCUUCCUCNCCCCCCCCCCACAGGUGACACAAGGGGGUGACAGCGGGGAGGGGUUUGGUCACUUGGGGGGUUCAUUCACAAAUAGGGGCGAGCUCAGCCCCGCCCUUUACUCAUUUAUAUGCAGCUCUAAUUAAUGAAUGGCCUAAUUAAGCCUUGGGGAAGGGUUUCCUCUUCUGCCACCCACAUCCCUCUGCUGGAGCCAUCCGGGGUUCUCUUCUUUUUGGGAAAGGAACUCUGUCCUGGGGUUUUUUUGAACCCCUUCCCAGUAAUUUUGGAUUUUUUGCACUUCAGCUCCAAUCAAAGCCAUGAGCGGUGCCAGGGCCGCGCUGCCGCUCCCGUGGGAUCCUUCCCCUUCCAGCUAGAGCCGGGUUUAAUUAAUGCUUAAUUAGCAAACGCUUGGGUUUAACUCGAACCUGGUCUUUUAUCACCCGAAUUCCUUAAAUCCGAGAGGCUGUUUGCAUCUGUGCCGGGGUGGGAACUGUCAGGGAGCGCCCAAAUCCCUUGGGUUCCCUCUUUAGGGUCGGGAUGAUUUGGGGGUUAUCAAUGGGAUUAUCAAAGAAGUGUAAAUUGGUGGUUUAUGGAGGAAUUUUUUGUGAAUGGGAUGUUUGUAGAUGGAUUUUUAUGAAUGGGGUCGUUGUAAAUGGAUUUUUAUGAAUGGGGUGAUUGUAGGUGGGUUUAUGAAUGGGGUAUUUGUGAAUGGGUUUAUCGAUGGGUUUAUCAAUGCAUUGAUAACCAAACCUCCACAAGCUUGGGAGGGACACUUCAGGGAUCCUCGGUCGGAUGUUGUUCUUCCUUUUGAUUGUUACUUGAUGAAGAAAGAGCUCAGAUUCGAUUUUAUUUUAUCUUAAAUAUUUCACUUUAAUCUGAAUCUGUGUUCUGUGUGUGUGUGACCAUCCCUGACUGUUCCUGAGCUCGGCUCUCGGACUCUCUGUGCUGCACUGAACUUGUGGAUUUUUAUACUAAAAACCAAAAAUAAAGAUUAUUUUGAAAAUUUAAACGAAGUAACA
rnacentral:lncRNA from 1 species